CAACAUUCAUCUACUAUGAUUGCCAAAUUAUGGAUCCUAAUGUUGGUGCAAUUUUUGAAUCCAACCAUCAUGUAGGCAUAAUAUUUACCAAUCCUGCGAAAUUCAAUGAAAUCAAAACAAAGACUGGCCAAUAGCUCGUCAUUUUGAAAGUGCUAUUUCGAAACUGUAUUAUAAAUUUCCUAUGGCCUCCAAUUAUCGAGUGUAUAAAAUAUUGGAACUUUCUGGUGAUGAGGAUAUCGAGGCAAUGGUAUAUACACAUACCAACUUUGAGGACCUUCAUGUUGUGGACUUGUAUGCGGAGUUACAUGAAAAUAAUCCUGCUCGUAAGGUAUACACUCAAUCAUUAUCAUCAACAACUCCAAUAACUGAUGCUACUAUUAUAAAUCAAUGAAUUCCACAUUUUAACCCAAACAUUGAUGAAGCUACAUCCUUCAUGGGUAGACGAUCUUCUACAUUUUAGCAUGAGUUUGACUUAAAUGUUGGAUUUGAAUAUUGCAGUGAUUAUGUAGCCACAUUGUCAUAUGUUAGCAACACGUUCAAUUAUCCAACACAAAUUGUGGUUACUGAUAUACAACCAUUAGUUGUUGGUUUUCAGCACAACUUUGGGUUACCAAAUGUACAAGGUGAAAGACCCAAUGAGAAGGAGGUCCUAAAUGCUCAUGUGGAUGAAUUCAGUGACUGAUUUUGAUGAAGUUACUGAUGACGAUGUAAAUGAAAAUCUAAUUCGUGAAUACAAUGACUUUCCUCAACCCUACAAGCAUGGCAAUGGCAUGGUGAUCGACUUCGAUCCUAAUAACCAUUUAAUGAAUGUUGACCCCAAUAUUGCCCAUGCACUUGAGUUUCCAAAAUACCCAUAAUUUUGCCACUCCAUCAGGUGUUGGAUGAUGAGGAAUUGGAAAAACUCAGAGUUAGGUUAGAAUACGAUGAAAAAGAAAGUUAUGUUGCUAUAGUAAAUUAGUACAACUUAAAGGUAUUCGUCAACUACAGAUUCACAAUGUCAAAUCCCAAAUUAUAUGUGAGAGAGUGUUGGAAUGCAUCCGAAGGUUGUAGGUGGAGGGCCAAGACAUCUUUUGUGAAUAAAUCACAAAUGUGAAAGACUUAAAAUUAUGAAGGCCUUGCACUUGUACUGUGACAUGGUUAACUCAAUAUCAUCGAAAGUUAGAUGCCAAGGUAAUCAAUCACUGUAUCAAGCCUUUGAUCGAGGCAAAACUCACUAUUUUGAUUUUUGGGUUGGUGGCAUCUAUGCAAACCCAUUAUCGGUAUAAUUUUCAUAUCGAAAAAUAUGAUAUGCUAAACAAAUUACCAUGAAAGAGUUGUCAAUAAUGCGCUAGUAUGUCUCUAGAACUGUGAUCAAGAUGCAAAUUAUGAAUGCGUACGACCAGGAUGGCAAAGAAGUGCUAAGGUCUCAAAUCUUCCAUUAACUAUUCUAGACAUCUGAACCUUCCCUUUUUGUAAGCCCAUAUUUCAGGUUGAUGGUACUUGGCUCUACGGAAAAUAUAAGUAGAUAUUUCUUAUAGCCAUGGAAUAGGAUAGGAAUCGAAAUGUUUUGUCAAUCGCCUUUUCCAUUGUAGAUAAAGAAAACAUGAAGUUGUAAGAGUUUUUCUGUAACACCUGGGUAUCUUUAUUACCCCAAAAUUUAAGGAAAGUUAGGACUAAAUUGAAAGGAUUAGUAAAUUGUUAGACUCCACUAGGAAAUUUAGAAAUUUUAGUAGAUGAAUUUUGAUUAGUUGGAUCUCAAUCCUGGUUCGGUUAGGAUGGAACCAACUGGUUCCAAAGCAGGAGACAAAAUGAUUAAGGAGGAAUGGUAGAGACGGUCAAAGAAAUCAUGCUAAAGAUGUAUAUAUAUAAUAGUGUGUGGAAACAAAAUUUUCUCAAUUUUAUUUAUCAAAUUUUUACUCUAAAGUAUCAUCUUCUUCAGUCACUCUAAAAAAAAAUCGGAUUUAGCUGAAGGAAGCUCUACAUGCUGCAAUAAUCAUUUGAAUUGAAGUCUGAUAGUAGGGAAAUUGAGGAACUGAUAAGCUUCCUUUGUAACACCCUUUACCCGUACCCGAGACCAAGACUAGGUACGAGGCGUUACCAGGCAUGUACUUGAACAUUUUCGGGAAAUACGGGUUAUAAAAUUUCGUUCCGAUUUGAAACCAAUCCAAUAGCAUCUUGGUGUCUCUAUUAUGAACCUACGAGGCUCAAACGUACAUUGAAAUUGAUCCGGGACUAAACCGAGGACCUAAUAAAAAUUUAAGAAAAAUUCUGAGUUAAUGUCUCACAUGCCCGUGUAGAGACAUUGCACACGCCCGUGUGCUUUGGGACACGCACGUGUCCCCUACCCUUGUGGAGUUAAUUGAAUUUAUUUUCUAAUUUGAACCUACAGGGGUUUUCACACGGUCAAGCACAUGCCCGUGUCUCUGGCCCGUGUCCUUCACACGGCCUUGACAUGCCCGUGUCCAAAAAUUUGAGCAUUCUAUUUAUGACGUCAACAUGUAUUUAAGGGCACACGGUCAAGACACACGCUCAUGUGUUAGGUCGUGUCCUCCACACGAUUGAGACACACGGCCGUCUCUCUACUUGUGUGUUUACUACCAUGCGUUCAGACUUAAAAUUUUAGGUGUAGGGGACGCACGGUUAUGCCACAUGCCCAUGGGGUGGUCCGUGUGUCACACACGGUCUAGAUACAUGCCCGUGUGGACCAUGUUAGGCUAUUUUCCAAGCCUUUGGUCACCCUCUAACAUAUGUUCUCACUUAUAGGUUUCCAUAACAUAUAGCCAGGCCUAAUUAUACUCUCAAAUGACCUCGAUGAACAUCAUUGCAUGUAAACCUCAUUUCAUCGGUCUUACACAUGCUAGGAUUAUUUCUGUUGUAUCAAGAAUGUCUAUGCCUUAUAACACAUUCAAGAUUGGCUCAUUAUUAUAACUCAUUGCAAAUUAUGGUCUAGCCAUCCCAUGUGAUUCGGUCAUUGUACAUGUGUAUCUACUUGUGAUACGCCAUGUUGAUUCAUCUCAAUGACAUUAGAACACAAAUAUGCAUAACUAUGUAGGUCAUACCUUAUAACAAAAUGAGCCAAAUACUAUGGCCAUAUGCAUGUGGACAUGUACACCUUACAAGCCUUCAUUUGGCUAAUCAAAUGACACAUAUUACAAAAUUAACAAAAGCCCUAUACAUGCCAUUGAACAAAAUAAGAGUAUCUAUAUACCAAAGCUAGAUAAGAAGAUAGUGUGUUGACUCUCCAAUCGUCUUCCAAUCUUCGUAAGUCCACUAGCUCUAUAAGAAGGGGAAAAGAGAGGGGUAAGCAUUUACAUGCUUAGUAAGCCCGAAUAAUUGGAAAAUAAACUUACCGAUUUGUUUAGCAUGCAACCAUAUUAGGAAAAUAAACCAACAAGUAUGGAAUGGUUUCCCUAUCACACACACUUCAUCAACAAGUCAGUCACAUAACAUCACACCAUGUAACUUAUCUAAGAUGAGCUCAUCAUUCAAAAUUUUCAUUUUUGUAUCUCAUAUUAAUCCCGUUGAGUUACUUGGAAAAUCUCGAUGGAUUAUCCAUUUACCGUCAAUUCAUUAGAGCAAUCAUCUCAUGUAUGCACUCCUGCGAAUCUCACAUCUUACGGUGGGAUUACGAGUCUGGGCUAAAUCCUUUAUGCGACAAACACCCUCAAUGAGCUCGGAUCUGAAUUACCAGUCCAGGCUAAAUUCAGACUCUAAUCGAAUUACUCGUCAGGGCUAAAUCCACAAUGCACGCAUAUUCUUCGGGAGGCUCGAUCACUCAAGGAACACCCGUCCGGGCUAGAUCCUUUCUACAUUUGAGAUCAACGGAUUACCUGUCCAGGCUAAAUCCUUUUCUGCAACACAUGCAGGAUCUCAAGUCAUGUAAGCCAUGGUUUAUCCAUCGAAUUUCCCUUUUUACUUCAAUCGAGACAUUUACUAUCAUAUCAUUGUUAUUGACAUAUUUCAUGGAUUUUCAUGUCAUCAUUAUAACUAAAUAUCAUGCAUUCAUAACACACAUAAUUAGUCAUAUUAAUAGUUUACUUAAAGUUAUUCGAACUUACCUGGUAUUCGUCUCGGUUUUGCGUUUCGGUUAUUCCGGAACCUUUUGUUUUCCUCGAUCGACCUCCAGAAUUUGCUUCUCGGGGUCUAUAACAAUAAAAAUGAAUCAUCAAUACCUCACAUUAUUCUUUUUGAGCCUAAAUUUCACCCCAGAAAAAAUGAUUGUUUUGCCCCUAACCUUUCACAUUUUUACGAUUUAGUCCCUAGGCUUGUAUAAUAAAAUGCAUGCAAUUUCUACCUUACCCAAGCCUAGCCGAUUGUUCUUUCCUCUUAUGGCAACCCACAUUUCUCCAUUAUUUCACAUUUUUACCACAUAUUUUACACCUUUUGCAAAAAGGUCCUUUUAAGGGUUUUUAAUGAAAAUCACCUAGAAAAAGAUGUUUAACACACAUACAACUUUCAUAUUCCUCCAUAAAAAAUCAAAGAAUAAACAUGUCACACAUGGUUCACUUUACAAACAUGAACCCUAACUCAAAAUUUGGGUAGAAAUGGAAAGAGUAAGCUACCGGGAUUUCAAAAAUGUGAAGAACAUUAAAAAAGGGGGGGGCUUGGGAGCACUUACUAUUGAGCUUGAAAAUGUUGAAAACCUUAGCUAUGGAGGGCUUGAAAAAUUCGGCUAGAUGAGGGAGAAGAAUGGCUGAUUUUUUCCUUCAUUUUCCCAUUUUAUUUCAUUAAUUAGCCAAAUGACCAAAAUACCCUUAAGCCCUUUCUUUAAGAUUUUAUCCAUACAUGCCCAUUUUUGUCCAAAAACUUAAAAAUUGGAAAAAUUUCUCUUUAAGACCUUCUAAUUAAUAAUCUAAAACAAUUUCAGACAAAUUUCUUCUAGAAUCCAAGUUUUUCAAUUUAUUCAAUUUAGUCCUUAUUUUCGAAUUAGACACCUUACUCAUAGAAAUUCCUCAUGAAACUUUAACACAUGCAUAUUUUCAUAUUCUAGACCUCAUAAUAAUUAUAAAUUAAAUAUUUCAACGUUGAAUUUGUGGUCUCGAAACCACUAUUCCAACUAGGCCCUAUUUUGGGACGUUACAUUUCUCCCCCAUUUUGGGACUUUCGUUCUCGAAAGUCUUACCAAUAAACAGGUUCAGAUAUUGGCUUCUCAUGGUUUCUUCUGGCUCCCAUGUAGCCUCUUCUACACCAUGUCGAUGCCAUAAAACUUUUACCAAAGCCACAUCUUUAUUUCUCAGCUAUUUAACCUCACGAGCCAAAAUCUUGACCGGUUCCUCACCAUAAGUCAUGUCUGGUCUAAUUUCAAUCUAAGCUGGUGAAAUUACAUGAGAGGGGACUGAUCGAUAUCGCCUUAACAUGGAUACAUGGAACACAUCGUGAAUCUUUUCCAGUUCGAGUGGCAAUGCCAAACGAUAGGCUAAUGGUCCAACUCUUUCAGUGAUCUCGUAUAGUCCGGUAAAUCAUGGACUCAAUUUGCCUUUCCAUCCAAAUCUCAAUACCUUUUUCCAUGGAGAUACUUUCAAGAAUACUCUAUCUCUAAUUUGAAGUUUGAUCUCUUUUCUUUUCAAAUUAGCAUAUGACUUUUUCCUAUUCGAUGCCGCUUUUAAAUAGUCACGUAUCUCUUUAACCUUUUCUUCAGUUUCCUUGAUCAAAUCAACUCCGUGAAUCUGAUUCUCCUUGAGUUCCGUCCAAUUAAAUGGAGUUUGGCACUUCCUGCCAUACAAGGCCUUGUAAGGUGCCAUAUUCAAACUCGUUUGAAAGCUGUUGUUGUAGGCGAACUCUACCAAUGGCAGGUAUUUUUCCUAGCUGCCCUGAAAUUCAAGGAUGCAACAUCGCAACAUAUCCUCUAGAAUCUGAGUCAUCCGCUCAGACUGACCAUCAGUCUGCAGGUGAAAAGCAUUACUAAAGCUCAAUUUUGUACCCAAGGCUUCUUGUAACUUCUUCUAGAAUCUCGAAGUGAAUCUCGGGUCUCUGUCUGAAAUAAUCAAUAGCGGUACCCUGUGUAAUCUCACAAUAUCAGAUAUAUACAAGUCGGCCAACUUGUCAAGUGAAUAAUCUAUCCUUACCGGAAUAAAAUGAGCUGACUUUGUCAACUUAUCAACCAUAACCUAUAUAGCAUCUUUCUUUUUUGGGGUCAAUGGUAAUCCUGUCACAAAAUCCAUAGUGAUUCUGUCCCAUUUCCAUUCGGGGACCAUCAUAAGCUGUAGCAAACUAGAAGGUACUUGAUGUUCAGCCUUGACUUGCUGGCAUAUCAAGUAUUUCGAUACAAAUUCAGAGAUGUCUCUUUUCAUGCCAUUCCACCAGUACAUUUUCUUUAAAUCAUUGUACAUUUUGGUACUUCCAGGAUGAAUAGAAAAAUGGCUAUCAUGUGCUUCUUGCAAGAUUUUCUGAAUAAUUUCAUUAUUCCUCGGUACACAAACUUUGUCUCUGAACAUCAAACAUCCAUUGGGACUAACCUGAAAAUCUGAUUCAAUGCCCAACUCACAUUGAGCUCUGUUAGCCUGCAAGUUACUAUCAUUAGUCUAAGCAUCAUAAAUUUCCUAAAGAAAUAUCAUCUUGACCCUUAACUCUGCCAAGACCGAACCAUCAUCAAACAACGCCAAUCGAGUGUUCAUGGCCCUCAAUGCAAAUAAAUAUUUUCUGAUCAACGCGUCGGUUACCACAUUCACCUUUCCCGGAUGAUAAUCGAUGAUCAGCUCGUAGUAUUUAAUUAAUUCUAACCAUCCCUGCUGUCUCAGAUUCAGUUCUUUUUGAGUCAUUAAAUACUUCAAGCUCUUAUGGCCUGUGAAUAUAUGACAAGUCUCACCAUAUAAGUAAUGCCUCCAGAUUUUCAAGGCAAAAACAAUGGCCGCGAGCUCUAAGUCAUGCGUCAGAUAAUUGUUCUCGUGUGGCUUCAACUACCACGAAGCAUAGGCUAUCACCUUGCCAUCUUGCAUAAGUACACAACACAAUCCAUUUAAGGAUGCAUCACUAUAGACCACAAACUCUUUUCCCAACUCAGACAAUACUAAAACUGGAGCUUCAGUCAGCAAUGUCUUCAACUUUUCGAAACUCUACUGGCACUUCUCUGUCCAUUCAAAACUUAACAUCUUACUGUAGUAACCUCGUCAUCGGAGUCGCGAUCAUGGAGAAUCCUUUCCCAAAUCUUUGGUAGUAACCGGCUAAGCCCAAAAAGCUUUUAACCUCGGUUACAUUUUUAGGUGGUUUCCAUUCAACAAUUACAGAGAUUUUACUUGGAUCAACUCGAAUGCGAUCACCUAAAACAAUAUGACCCCAAAACCCUACUUUUUGGAGCCAAAAUUCACUCUUGCUAAACUUAGCAUACAAUUGCUUUUCCUGUAAAGUCUGCAACAUAGUCCUUAAAUGCUUCGCAUGUUCCAUCUCAUCCUUGGAAUAAAUCAAAAUGUCAUCAAUGAACAAAACGAUAAAUUUGUCCAAGUAUGGUCGAAAUAUCCUAUUCAUUAGGUCUAUAAAUACGGCCGGUGCAUUCGUUAACCCAAACAGCAUGAUAAGAAAUUCAUAGUGGCCAUACCUCGUUCUAAAAGCUGUCUUUGGCAUGUCCGACUCCUUAACUCGCAACUAAUAGUAGCAGGAUCUCAAGUCUAUCUAAGAGAAUACAGUAACUCCCUUCAACUGGUCAAACAAACCAUCGAUCCUUGGGAAAGGAUACUUAUUCUUGAUAGUCACCUUGUUUAAUUGCCAAUAAUCUAUACACAGCCUCAUUGAACCAUCUUUCUUCUUUACAAAUAAUACAGGAGCACCCCAAGGCGAAAAGCUUGGCCUUGCAAAAUAUUUAUCCAUCAGCUUUUGCAACUGUGCUUUUAAUUCUUUUAGCUCGAUUGGUGCCAUCCUAUACGGAGCAAUAAAAAUAGGAGCUAUCCCUGGCACCAGUUCAAUACCAAACUCUAUCUCUCUUUCAGGAGGUAAUCUAGGUAAUUCCUCCGAGAACACAUCUGGAUAUUCACAUACUAUUGGCACGGACCCAAACUUCAACUCCAUUUCCUUAGUGUUUAGUACAAAAGCAAGGUAGGAUUCAUACCCUUUUCUAAUAUAUUUUUGAGCAACCAUUGCUGUGAUUACAACCGGUGGUGUAUCCAAUUCUCUUAAAACAACUCGUAGAACCUUACCAUCUGGGCUCUUCAAUUUAAUAUACUUGCUACUACAAUUUACAAUUACAUCAUAUAGGGCUAACCAAUCCAUGCCAAGUAUUACAUCAAACUCAUCAAAUGAAAAUAACAUAAGGUUAGCCGGAAAACAAUGACCCUGAAUCGUCAAAGGACAAUUCUUACAUACUUUAUCAACCAAGACUGACUUGCCUAAUGGGUUCGACACUCUGAUUAUAAAUUCCGUAGGUUCAAUGGGUAUAUUCAUACUAGACACCAACCUCAUACAAAUGUAUGAAUACGUUGACCCCGGAUCAAUUAAGGCAACAACAUAAGUAUUAAAAAGAGAAAAGGUACCCGUGAUAACGUCAGGAGCAGAGGUUUUCUCUUAAGCGCGUAUUACAUACGUUCUUGCCGGGGCUCGAGUCUCUGAUUUCAUGGUGUAUUUGGCCGCAACUCGACUGCCACUAACACUUUCAGGAUAUUUCGGAGGUCUACCUCGUGGAAUAAGAGCACUCAAUUUUGGGGUUACUUCCACCUCUUUAUCGGUUAGCUCUGGGCAGUCUCUAAGGAAGUGGUCAAGAGAACAACAUCUAUAACACGCACCGCUCUUCAUCCGACUCUCUCCGAAGUGAAAUUUAUUAUAGUUUUUACACUUCAGCUUUUGGUUAUCUACACUCCCCACACCAGUCACCAUCGGGGAGGAAGACUUCUGAUUACGUCGUUUGGAGCCUCUCACUUUACCUGAAUAUCCUACCGAUGAAGUGGAGCAUUCAUAUUGGCUCAUCGAUUUCUUUGUGAGAAAUGAGAGCGUCUUACCGCUAGAUCUCUUGCUCGCAACUUGAGCUUCUCUAUUAACUUGUUUCUUUUCAUUAUUGAGUUCCUCAACUUUCUUGGCCCGAUCAGCUAAUGCAGCAAACUCUCGUAUCUCAAGAAUCUCAAUCAAUAGCUUGAUUUCCUCAUUCAGACUUUCCUCGAAGCGUUUACAUAUUUCGGACUCGGUUUGAACUCAUUCAGUUGUAUACUGACUUAGCCUUACAAACUCCCUUUCGUAUUCCGCUACAGUCUUAUUUCUUUGUUUGAGUUCCAAGAACUCCUUCUGUUUUGAGUUUAAGAACCUUUGGCUGAUGUAUUUCUUCUUAAACUCCGCUUGGAAAAAUUCCCAAGUGACGUUUUCCUUUAGCACCACUGAAGAUACGGUCUUCCCCCAGUGGUAUGCAGUAUCUUUUAGGAGUGACACGGUACAAUUUAAGUACUCCUCAGGUGUGCACGAUAAUUCGUCUAAUACUUGUGUAGUAUUCUCGAGCCAGAACUUGGCUUUCUCAGCAUCAUCAUUGAUCAUAGCUCUGAAUUCCUCAGCCCCGUACUUUUUAAGUUUAUCUAUAGGGGCUUUACCAAUUCUUACAGGUGCCAUAACUCGUGGCAAUUCCUCAUCAGGUUGGUUAGGGGCAGGGGAGGUCGUGGUAUGUUGGGGCGAUUCCUCAAAUAAUCCCCAAACCACUAAUCCAUCAUGUCAAAAAAGGCGGCUCUAGCCUUUUCAUGACCUUCAGACAUAGGCCUUCAACUACUGCUAGAAACAGCUCGUUGUACGGAAGUUAGAGCAUGGCUCUCAGCUCCCUUGGACUUAUCUUGUACUUAAUUAAAAGACAUUUACUAUAUUCAAAGAUAAUUAAACAAUUAGGAGAUAUCACACUAUCAACGUUCAUAUAAUGCCAUGUAUAGCUAAACUCGAUGCACUCUACGGUAGUCCUAAAACCGACUAAAUCAUAGCUCUGAUACCACUAAAUCUAACACCCCUUACCCGUACCCGAGACCAGGACCAGGUACGAGGCAUUACCAGGCAUGUACUUGAACAUUUUAGGAAAUACGAGUUACAAAAUUUCGUUCCAAUUUGAAACCAAUCCAAUAGCAUAUUGGUGUCUCUAUUAUGAGCCUACGAGGCUCAAACGGCCUUGACAUGCCCGUGUCCAAAAAUUUGAGCAUUCUAUUUAUGACGUCAGCAUGCAUUUAGGGGCACACGGUCAAGACACAUGCUCGUGUGUUAGGCCAUGUCCUCCACACGAUUGAGACACACGGUCGUGUCUCUACCCGUAUAUUUACUACCAUGCAUUCUGACUUAAAAUUUUAGGUGUAGGGAACGCACGGUUAUGCCACACGCCCAUGGGGUGGUCUGUGUGUCACACACGGUCUAGAAACAUGCCCGUGUGUCUACCUGUGUGGACCAUGUUAGGCUAUUUUCCAAGCCUUUGGUCACCCUCUAACAUAUGUUCUCACUUAUAGGUUUCCAUAACAUACAGCCAGGCCUAAUUAUACUCUCAAAUGACCUCGAUAAACCUCAUUGCAUGUAAUCCUCAUUUCAUCGGUCUUACACAUGCUAGGAUUAUUUCUCUUGUAUCAAGAAUGUCUAUGCCUUAUAACACAUUCAAGAUUGGCUCAUUAUUAUAACUCAUUGCCAAUUAUGGUCUAGUAAUCCCAUAUGAUUCAGUCAUGUUACAUGUGUAUCUACUUGUGAUACGCCAUGUUGAUUCAUCUCAAUAACAUUAGAGCACAAAUAUGCACAACUAUGUAGGUCAUACCUUAUAACAAAAUGAGCCAAAUGCUAUGGCCAUAUGCUAUGACCAUAUGCAUGUAGACAUGUACACCUUACAAGCCUUCAUAUUAGUUAGUCAAAUGACACAUAUUACAAAAUUAACAAAAUCCCUAUACAUGCCAUUGAGCAAAAUAAGAGUAUCUAUAUACCAAAGCCAGACAAGAUGAUAGUGUGUUGACUCUCCAAUCGUCUUUCAAUCUUCGUGAGUUCACGAGCUCUGUAAGAUAGGGGAAAGAGAGGGGUAAGCAUUUACAUGCUUAGUAAGCCUGAUAAACCAUAAUUUAUACAUAUUUUUAUCCCAUGCUUAACGCAUUUAUGAAUGGUUUUCACCUUAAAAUUGGUGAAUUCGAUGCUCCUAAUCCUUUAAUUUUAUGUUUCAAACUUAGGUGAGCAUAGGAGAGUAAAAAGAGCGGGAAACGGCACGAAAAGGGAGAAAAUGGACCAACUCGGGAAAUCAACACAGCCUGGACUUUCUCACACGAGCGUGUCCCACGUUCGUGUCCCUUUGGCAGGAUUGAAGCACGACUUACACGGGUGGAUCACACGGUCGUGCCCAUUUAACAGCCUUGACCACAGCCUUAAGUAAUCGCACACGGGCGUGUCCCUGCCGAGCCCAAGUUUAGUCCAAUUUGGAAAAGGCAAAUUUUGAGGGCUCUUUGGCAUUCCAAAGCCUAUAAAAACACCUGAUGAGGCACUUAGAGGGGGUACGCAGAGUAGGGAUCAAGGAAUUACUCAAGGGAAGCCGAUUGAUCCAUCUCAAAAGCCGAAUUCAUCAUCAAGACUGAAGUUCUCCCUUCAAGUUCCUUCAGGAGUUUUGGGUUUUCUUAUGUUUUGUUAUCUUUAUGCUUUUGAGAUGUUUUCUUUCAUAAGUAUAAACUAAACCCCCUAAAUACCUAAGGGGAAUAAAACCUAAGACGGAUCUUGUUAUUAUUAUCCGAAUUGUAUGAUAAAUAUUUGACUUGUUCUUAAUUAUGUGUUCUUAAUUCUUGUUUUGAUAUUCCAGGAUAUUGAUUCAAGUUAUGCUCUUAUUCAGAGGAGAAAUAAACCCUGUCUAAGAGUAAAUUUGUCAUAAUUAAGCGGAGUUGAUUGUGCGCCUAGAGAUAAGGUGACAACAUUUUGCUGGAUUAGGGUGAAACCUAAUAAGGGAAUCCAUAGAUCGAGUUAAUGCAAUUUUAGGGUGUUAAUUAGAAAGAGAUUUCAAUUAUUCAACCUAGGGUUAGACGUUAUUAGUCUUGAGAGAGAUAAUAAUAUAACUUAGGGAUUUCUACAGAUCAAGUCAAAUGAAUAAAUCGUCUGAUUCAGAGUCAAGUAACAAGUGAAGUCUAGGUGGAUUUUUCCUUAGUUAUUGUCUCAAUCAAUCGAAUUUUCCUAAAAGUAUUUUCCCAAGUUUUCUUUUUGUGCAUUCUUAGUUAAUAAUUAGUUUAGAUAACCAAACUUCUUAAUUUUUAGGCUAGAUAAUAAAAAGGAAGUAAAUACUAGUAUUCAUAGUUCCUUUGGGUUCGACAAUCCGGUCUUGCUAAACUAUACUAUUGUUCGAUAGGUACACUUGCCUUAAUCGUGAUAAUAAGUUAGUCUCAAGAACGAUUCAUUUAUAAAUCUUUAAAACCUGUUACGAAUAUCACGCAAUAAAAGCCCGAAUAACUGGAAAAUAAACUUACCGAUUUGUUUAGCAUGCAACCAUAUUAGGCAAAUAAACCAACAAGUAUGGAAUGGUUUCUUUAUCCUAUGCACUCCAUCAACAAGUUAGUCACAUAACAUCACACCAUGUAACUUAUCUAAGAUGAGCUCAUCAUUCAACGUUUUCAUUUUUAUAUCACAUAUUAAUCUCGUUGAGUUACUCAGAAAAUCUUGAUGGAUUAUCCAUUUACCGUCAAGUCAAAAGAGCGAUCAACUCAUGUAUGCACUCCUGCGAACCUCACAUCUUACAACGGGAUUACCAGUCCAGGCUAAAUCCCCCGUAAUGUAAACUCAUAAGAUGAUAUUGGGAUUACCAAUUCAGGUUAAAUCCAUUAUAGCGACAAACACCCUCAAUGAACUCGGAUCUGAAUUACCAGUCCAGGCUAAAUCCAAACCUUAAUCGGAUUACCUGUUCGGGCUAAAUCUACAAUGCACACAUAUUCUUCAGGAGGCUCGAUCACUCAAGGAACACCAUACGAGCUAGAUCCUUUAUACAUUUGAGAUCAACGAAUUACCCGUCCAGGCUAAAUCCUUUUCUGCAACACAUGCAGGAUCUCAAGUCAUGUAAGCCAUGGUUUAUCCAUCGAAUUUUCCUUCUUACUUUAACCGGGACAUUUAUUAUCAUAUCAUUAUUAUUGACAUAUUUCAUGGAUUUUCAUGCCAUCAUUAUAACUAAAUAUCAUGCAUUCAUAACACAUGUAAUUAGGCAUAUUAAUAGUUUACUUAAAGUUAUUCGAACUUACUUGGUAUUCGUCUCGGUUUCGCGUUUCGGUUAUUCCAAAACCUUUUGUUUUCCUCGAUCGACCUUCGAAAUUUGCUCCUCGGGGUCUAUAAUAAUAAAAAUGAAUCAUCAAUACCUCACAUUAUUCUUUUUGAGCCUAAAUUUCACCCCCAGACAAAAUAACCAUUUUUCCCCUUACCUUUCACAUUUUUACUAUUUAGUCCCUAGGCUCGUAUAAUAAAAUGCACGCAAUUUCUACCUUACCCAAGCCUAGCCGAUUGUUCUUUUCUCUUAUGGCAGCCCAUAUUUCUCCAUUAUUUCACAUUUUUACCACAUAUUUUACACCUUUUGCCAAAAGGUCCUUUUAGGGGUUUUUCAUGAAAAUCACUUAGAAAAAGAUGUUUAACAAACAUACAACUUUCAUAUUCCUCCAUAAAACAUCAAAGAAUAAACAAGUCACACAUGGGUCACUUUACAAACAUGAACCCUAACUCAAAAUAUGGGUAGAAAUAGAGAGAGUAAGUUACCGGGAUUUCAAAAAUGCGAAGAACAUUAAAAACGAGGCUUGGGAGCACUUAUUAUUGAGCUUGAAAAUGCUGAAAACCCUACCUAUGGAGGGCUUGAGAAAUUCGGCUCGAUGAGGGAGAAGAAUGACUGAUUUUUUCCUUCAUUUUCCCAUUUUAUUUCAUUAAUUAGCCAAAUGACCAAAAUGCCCUUAAGUCCUUUUUUUAAUAUUUUUUCCAUACAUGCCCAUUUUUAUCCAAAAACUUAGGAAUUGGGAAAAUUUCUAUUUAAGACCUUAUAAUUAAUAAUAUAAAGCAAUUUCAUACAAAUUUCUUCUAGAAUCCAAGUUUUGCAAUUUAUUCAAUUUGGUCCUUAUUUUCCAAUUGGACACCUUACUCGUAGAAUUUCCUCAUGAAACUUUAACACAUGCAUAUUUUCAUAUUCUAGACCUCAUAAUAAUCAUAAAAUAAAUAUUUCAACAUCAAAUUUAUGGUCCCGAAACCACUGUUCUGACUAGGCCCUAUUUUAGGAUGUUAUAUCCUUACCCUUCUAAACUCAUGGAUUAAAAGAAGUAGAGUAAGAACUCUUGCAAGCUUUUGUACAACAAUGGAUUCUAAUUUUUAUGGGUUGAACACCUUUAGUUUAACCGAUAAAUGGUUUUCAUGCUUAACUGGCAGGACAAAGGAGGCUCUAACGUACAGGACAAAGGGUAAAUAGAUUUGUUAUUAUUGAUGACUAUUCUAGAUAUACAUGGGUUUUCUUUUAUUUUCAAAAGAUGAAGCUUUAGAAAACAUUAUUAAUUUUUGUAAAAUGGUACAAAAACAAAUGGGAUAUUCAAUUUUUCAAGUGUAAGAAGUGAUCAUGGAAAAGAAUUUGAAAACUUUGGCUUUGAUAAUUUUUGUAAUGAACAUGGUAUUAGUCACAAUUUUUUGGAACCUAAAACCCCUCAACAAAAUUAAGUUUUUGAGAGGAAAAAUAGGACCUUAGAGGAAAUAGCUAGAACCAUGUUAUGUGAAAAUAAUUAGCCAAUAUAUUUUUUGACGGAAGCCAUAAACACUUUUUGCUAUAUUAUAAAUAGAGCUAUGGUUAGGCCUAUUUUAAAGAAAACUCCUUAUGAACUUUUUAAAGGAAGAAAGCCUAACAUAAGUCAUUUUCAUCCUUUUGGUUGCAAGUGUUUUGUUUUGAAUAAUGGAAAAUAAAAUUUAGGAAAUUUUGAUGCCAAAAGUGAUGAAGGUAUUUUUCUUGGUUAUUCCAUAAAUUCUAAAGCUUAUGGAAUUUUUAGCAAGAGAACCAUUGUUGUAGAAGAAUCUAUACAUGUUAUUUUUAAUGAAUCUAACUCUCCUUUUAGAAAUGAAUCUAUUGAUUUUGAUGAUGUAAAAAUAUAUCAAGUUGAGAAAAAUCAAGCAUCAUAUGAAGAUCAAGGUGUAAGUGAGUUGGUUCAAGAACUCAAAAUUAAUGAACUCCAAGAACCAACUCAAGUUGAAAGAGAAUCUAGCCACACAAGAAAGCUUUCAUAUGUUAUGGAUGGACACGUCAUUGGUGAUCCAUCUAAAACGGUAAUUACUAGAUCUUCAAUUAGAAAUACUUGUAAUUAUGUUGCUUCCAUUUCUUGCAUAAAACCUAAAAACAUUGAUGAUGUUUUAAAUGAUGAAUUUUGGAUAAUGGCUAUGCAAGAAAAUUUAAAUCAAUUUGAAAGAAAUCAAGUAUGAAAUUUAGCUGAUAGACCUAGUGAUCAUCCAACUAUAGGAACUAAAUGGGUCUAUAGAAAUAAACUUGAUGAAAAUGGUAACAUUGUUAGAAACAAUGCUAGAUUAGUUGCCAAAGGAUAUAGCCAAGAGGAUGGUAUAGAGUAUGAUGAAACUUAUGCACUGGUAACUAGGUUAGAAGCCAUUAGGAUGUUAUUAGCUUUUGCAUGUUCAAACAAUUUUAAACUUUUUCAAAUAGAUGUCAAAAGUGCAUUUUUAAAUGGUUUCAUAAAUGAAGAAGUUUAUGUUGAACAACCUAUCGGUUUUGAAAAUCCAAAAUUUUCAAAUCAUGUUUUCAAAUUUCCUGAAGCUCUAUAUGGUUUGAAACAAGCUCAUAAAGCUUGGUAUUAAAAGUUUUCCAAAUUUUUAAUUGAAAAUGGCUUUAGAAGAAGCAAAGUAGACACCACUUUUUUCAUAAAAAUUAAAGACAAAGACAUUUUAGCAGUACAAAUUUAUAUUGAUGAUAUUAUAUUUGGUGCUACUAAUGAACUUCUUUGUCAAGAAUUUUCUAAGAUUAUGCAAGGUGAAUUUGAGCUGAGCAUGAUGGGUGAGUGAUAAAUGAUAAAACUAACAUAUUUUAAUCCCAUUCUUAAUGCAUAGUUGGAUGAUUAUUUAUGCAAAUUGGUGAAUUUGAUACUCCUAAUCCUUUUAAUUCAGACUAUUAUACUUAGGUGAGCAUUUAGGAGCAAAAGGAGCGAAGAGAAAAAGAGCAUAUUUUAGAAGCCACACAGGCUAGGCACACACCCGUGUGACUCACACAGGCUAGACACACGCCUAUAUGCUAGCACAUGUCAAUUUUGCACCAUGCUUCCCAAAUAUGUGGAAAAACACAACUUUUAGGCUUUCUAAGCAUUCUAAAGUCUAUAAAUACCAAUUAGAAGAAGAGAUAUGAGAGCCAUCAGAGAAUAUCGAAGAAAACAUGUAAUACCUCGAAAUUUUCUUACAGUAAGAUAUUAUCCUUGAUAUAGUAAAAUAAGGAAAUAAAGUGAAAAAAAUGAAAAUUUUGAGUUAUGUAAAUAUUGGGAAGUAUAUUAUGAUAUAUUAAUUCAAGAAAUGACUAAAUUGUAAAAGUGAGAAAAGUUUUGUUGCACAAGAGUAAAUACUCAAAAUUUGAGGGGUUAAAGUGUAAACAUGAAAAAAUUGAAUGACUAAUAGUGUAAAUAUUUUAAGGGUGUAACGAUCUAGAAACUAAGGAAAAUGGAUGAAUUAGGACCAAAUUGAAGAGGUGAAGAAUUAUGAGGGACUAAAUUGUAAUUUUACCAAAUUUAAAUGAUGACUUAAGGAUAAAAUUUUAAAAUAUUAUAAAGGGAAAAAUGGUCAAUUGGAAAGAGAGAGAAUUCUAGAAGGCAAUAAUGAUAUUAGAGAUAUUUUGAUAUUCUAUAAUUAUUUAAUUAGAUAAAUAUUAUUUUAUUAAUAUUUUAAUAAGAUAUUUUAAUAAGAUAUUUUAUUAUUAUUUUAUUAGUAUAUAAAGAAAGAAAGAUGAGGAAAUCUCAUCCAUCUUUUCCAUGCAACCAACGUUAGAAGAGAAGAAAAGAAAGAAAAUUCUCUUUUCUUUACAAUUUGGUCCUUUCACCAAAAAUUCACUAUUUUCACUUUGAAAUCAAAAGAAUUUCCAUAGCCAUUAAGAGAGAAAGAUGACAAGGAGACUCUGGGGAGCUAGAAUAUCAAGUUAGAUUCAAGAAAUAGAAGCUGGAGGAGAGAGAAAAUUCAAGUUAAAGAUUGAAAUCAAUAGGACAUGGUAAGAACAUGAAGAUUUCAAUAUAUUUUUAAGUUUGUUAUUAUUGAAAAAGCAUGGAAAUGAUAUUAUAAUAGAGUUUUCUUAUAUAAGGUUUUAUAUUCUUGAUAUUUUAGUGAAGGGAAGUAAGAGAAAGUGAUGAGAAAUAUUAUAGAGAAAGGGAAUAGGGUGUUAUAAACUUAGUAAUCAACAUUUUGCACUAAAACAGUUUUGGACAGUAGCAAUAGUCUAAUUUUGAAAAUUCACUAAAAAUUGUAGAGAUCAAAUUAGAGGUUAAAUAAUAUAUUAAAUUAAAUAUUUUUGAGUUUAGUUUCACAUAGAAAAAAUGGUAUAAGUAACGGAAUUGUAGAUUGUGAGAUAUAACAAUUUAUGUGAGGCAAGGUCAGAAUGAUUUUGGGUUCCCCUGUUCUAAAUUUGGAAAAUCAUAAAAAAUUUGAGAAACAUAAUUAGGGGCUUAAAUUUAUAUUUUUAAAUCCCCAAUAAGUCUAUUUUCAAUAUAAACAAAAAAUAACAUCAUCAGACUCCUGUACUAAGAGAUAAUUAAUUUUUAGUAAAGAAAGGUUGAAGCUGCCAAACAGUAGAAUAGAGAUAAAUUUGAAGAUUUUACUGUACUUAUUGGCUAAAGUAUAAAUUUUGGAAAUUUCAUGUAUAAAUAUAUUUGAGUAUAGUUUCAAUAACAUCAAGCGGAUCUUAAUUUGGAAUUCUGUAGCUCAAGAUAUAAAUAAUUUAGUGACUAUGACUCAAGGUGACAGCUUUGAAUGAACAUAUAAGUAAAUAGUGAAAUUAUAGAUAAUGUUACAUAUAAGCAUGUUAUAUAUAUUAAGGAUGUGGAAUGGAGAGGAGAAGGAGGAAAAUAAAUAUAUGAAUAUUCAGCUGGUAAGGGCUUACAUUUAAAAUGGAUAAUUUGCAUGCUUUAGAUUCAUGGACUAAAUUGAAUAAAAGUAAAAGUUUAAAGGGUAAUUUUGUAAAAAUGUCAAAAAUGAUCAAAUUGCAUGAAAUGAAUUGUUUUAUUGUCUAAGUUAAUAAAUUGAAUGAAAUUAUUAAUUUAGGUCAAGAUCAGAUGGAAAAUCGAUGAAAAUGAAAAAUUACCAAAUGCCCCUGAAUCUUGGUAUUUCUGCAAUUUAGUUAGGUAAGUUCAUAUGGUUGAACUUUCAUGACUAUUUGUUAAAUUAGGAAUGAUAUAAUGUAUUAUUUCAUAUGUUUUCUAUUGAAUUAUGAAUAUUGUUAAAUUAUGGAAAUCGGAUCAAAAUUUCAAAUUGAACAGAACGCUGAAUUGAAUAUGAUCAUUUAGUGAUCAGUGAUGAAUUGAUAGAUAAGACCAUGGUUGGGUCAUGGCAAUAUAUGUUUAAGACCAUAGCUAUGUUAUGGCAUCCUAAUGAUAAGACCAUAUCUGGGAUAUGGCACUACAAGUGUAAGACCAUGGCUGGGCCAUGGGAAUACAUGUGUAAGACCAUAGUUGGACUAUGGCAUCAUGCCAGAAACGAGUAAGACCAUAUCUGAAAGACGUUAUGGCAUCACGAUUCAGAUAUGUAAGACUAUAGUUGAAAGAUACUAUGACAAUAUGAUGAGAAAUGAAUAAGACCAUGAUUGAAAGAUACCAUGGCAAAUGACAAAAAACGAAUAAGACCAUGGUUGGAAGAUACCAUGGCAACAUGACAAAAAAUGAAUAAAACCAUGGUUGAAAGAUACCAUGGAAACAUGACAGGAAAUGAAUAAAACCAUAGUUGGAAGACACUAUGGCAUCAUGUCGAAGAUAAAUAAGAUUGUGGAUGGGAGACGCUAUGACAUCUGUUGAACAAUUAAUAUUCAGACAAGUGCCAAGCUAUUGAUUGAAUGGUAAUAUAUUUAUUUAUAUGAUGCAUUGAAUUGGUAAGUAUUUAAUUGAAUUUUUUUUUAAAUGAUAUGUAAAUCCUAGUAAUGCCCCAAAACCCGGUUUUGGCGACGGAUACGGGUUAGAGGUGUUAGAAAACACUCAAAGAAAACCAUCGAAGCCAACUCGGAAGUGGAUUUCCAUCAAGAUUGAAGAUCUCCUUUUAAUUUCUUCUGAAGUUUUUAUGAGUUUCUUUAUUUCUUGUGGUUUUUCUAACUUUGAGAUGUUUUUAUUCAAUAUUAUGAACUAAUUCCCUAGAUACCUAGGGAGGAUGAAACCUACGAAAAAUUCUAUUAUUUAAUUUAUGUUUUGCAUGAUAAAUACUUGAUUCUUAUUCUCAAUUAUGUGUGCUUAUUUCUUGUUUUAAUAUUUCCGGGAUAUUAAUUCAUAUUUAAUGUGCUUAAUUCAGUGGAGCAAAAGUCCUUAUUUAAGAGUAGAUCUAGCAUAAUUGAGUGGAGUUGCAUGCAAUCCUAAAAAUAAGACGACAUAAAUCUACCGAAUUAGAGGCAAAUCUAAUAGAGGAAUCCAUAAAUUGAGUUAAUGCGACAAUAUGGGCUUUAAUUAGAAAGAGAUUUCAAUUAAUCAACCUAGAAUCAGUUGCUUUUACUCUCGAAAGAGAUAUUAGUAUAAUUUAGGGAUUUCUAUGGAUCAAGACACCAAGUGAAUAAACCAUUUAAAUCAAAUUAAUAAUAAUAGAAUGAGUCUAGGUGGAUUCUUUCUUGGGUGUUGUCUCUCUCGUUGGUUAAUAUUCGAUUAUUUCCUUGAUUAAUUCUCUAUUGUGUUCUUAGUUAAAUUAGUUUAGUAAUUUUAGCUUUAAAGCCCAUCACUCCAAAUUAUCGGCUGAAUAAUAAGAAAACAGUAAUUAUUAAUACAUUUAGUCCCCGUGGAUAUGAUAUCUUUACUUAUUGUAGUUAUACUAUUGUUCGAUAAGUGCACUUGCCUUUGUCGUAUUUAUAGUUAGUUUUGUGACUAUCAAGUUUUUGGCAUUGUUGCCGAGGACUAAAAUAUUAGGAACACUUUAUUUUUAUUAAUUUACCCAUUUUUUAUAUGUUUUUGUUUUUAUUUUAAUUUUUACCUUUUAAUUUUUCUUUUAUUUGCUUUUGGCAGGAUCCUUUAGUUUAUGACUUGAAGAAACUCGUCAAGACCAUUACUGUUUGAUAGCGAAGUUGAAAGUAUAGCUCGUAGAAAUCGUAGAGAUGCAAGGCAGAGUCGACAAAAUUUAGUAGAUGAACAAAAGGACAUUAUUAUUACUAAGGAGAUAGACGAUAAUUAGAAUAUUCAACUACCUCUUGCAGCAGCUUCUAAUCCACGUACUAUGUACGAUUAUGCCAAGCCUACUCUGAAUAGGGCUGAAUCGAGUAUUGUGCGACCCACCAUUGCUACAAACAGUUUCAAACUAAAGACAAACACAAUUCAAAUGGUACAACAGUUUAUGCAGUUCGAAGGUUUGUAAGAUUAAGAUCCAAAUAUUCAUUUCACAAAUUUCUUGGAAAUCUACGACACUUUCAAGAUAGAUGGCGCCACUGAUGACGCCAUUCGUUUACAAUUAUUCCUUUUCUUGUUGAGGAACAAAGCUAAACAAUGAUUAAAUACUUUACCACGAGGUUCCAUAAUUACAUGGGCUCAAAUAACCAAAAAGUUUCUGCUAAAAUACUUUCCACUAGCUAAGACAACCAAGUUGAGGAAAGAUAUCUCUUCCUUUUGUGUAAAUCGAUUUAGAUAAGUUAUACAAUGCAUGAAAGAGGUAUAAGGACUUAUAGAGAAGGUGCCCUCACCAUGGGUUACCUUUAUGGCUACAAGUUCAAACCUUCUACAAUGGUUUGAAUCCCUUAACGAGGUAGUUAGUUGACGCAGAAGCCGGUGGAACCUUAAAUAAUAAAACACUCAAAAUGGCUUAUGAAUUUAUUGAAGAGAUGACACUGAAUAAUUAUCAGUAGCAAGCCAUGAGGACAAAGCCGAUCAAAGCAGCUAUUGUUUUUAAUUUAGAUGUAAUCACCAUGUUAUUGAAUCGGGUAGAUUUGCUUCAUAAGAAAAUUGAUGGUUUAUAUCUUUUUACAUAGGUACAUCUGAUGAUGCAAUGUGAUAUAAAUGGAGGUGGAAUGAGCAAUCCAGAAUGUUUACCCUUUGGUCCUAGCAUAGAGAAGGAGCAAGUCAAUUAUAUGGGUAAUAAUUCUAGGUCUAAAAAUAACCUUACAGUAAUAACUAUAAUACAGGUUGGAGGAACCAUUCCAUUUUCUUUUAGGGUGGUCAAGGAAAUCAGAUAGCACAACCCAUUAUAGGCUUCCAACAACCACCUUAUCAGCAAGAGAAGAAGUCAAACCUUGAGGAGAUGUUUGAAAAGUUUAUCUCGAUUUUAGAAACUCAUUUCCAAAACACUAAGGUAGUACUGAAAAAUCAACAAGCAUCGAUUCAAUGGCUCAAAAAUCAAAUCGGUCAACUUGCUAAAUUAAUCUCAGAAAGACCACAAGGUAGUUUGCCUAACAAUACUGAAAAUAACCCAAUGAGCAACUUUAUGCAAUUACUGUUUGAGAUGAAGAAGGGUUAGUUGAAUUUGAAUAAAAAUCGAGGCAAGAAAUUGUGGAGAAUAACAAUAAGGUUGAGGUAAGCCAGAAAAAGCAAAAGUCAGUUGCCAAAGAAUAUAAACCUCUAGUUCUAUAUCCUAACGCGACGAAAAGAGACCACACAAAUGAACAAUUUGGUAAAUUUCUUAAACUCCUAAAAAAAUUACAUAUUAACUUACCGUUUGUUGAAGCUCUUUUGCAGAUGCCCAAUUAUGUCAAAUUUUUAAAGGAGCUGUUGGCAAACAAAUGGAAGUUAGAUGAUUCGUUGACUGUGGAACUUAAUGCAGUUUGCUCAGUCAUCUUACAAAAUAAAUUACCCAACAAACUGAAAGAUAAAGGGAGUUUUACUAUUCCUUGUUUAAUUAGUAGUUUAAAUAUUGAUAAUGCCUUGGCUGAUUUAGGGGCUAGUACUAAUGUCAUGCCCUAUAAAAAUGUUUAAUUUACUAGGUCUUGGGAAACCCAAACAAACUAGGAUGUGUAUUCAAUUAGAGGAUAGAAUCAUUAGAUAUCCUAGGGGUGUUAUUAAGGAUGUGCUUAUUAAAAUCGAUAAAUUCAUAUUCUCGUUGACUUUGUUUUGUUGGACAUGGAUGAGAGGUAGAAAGGUACCUUUAAUUUUAGGACGACCUUUUUUAGCAACUAUUAGGACUAUAAUAGGUGUUAGUAUGGGUGAACUUGUACUUCGUGUAGGUGACAAAAUGAUUACUUUCUAAGCUCGUGAUUCUGUGAGAACAUCUAGUGAUCAAGAUGAUUUUGAAUCUUCUGUUAAUGUUAGUGAUCAUGUGGCUCAACCUUUUUUGCAGAAAACUCCUCGAAAAAAUGUAAUGGAGCCACGUUUUAGUCAAUGCAACAGAAAAAAAUGACUUAUGAAGAACAAAUGUUACAAAUCGAUGAACUAGAUGAAUGGCAGACACAUGUUAAGGAGAAACUGAGAAAGCACGAUGAAGAGCAAAAGCAACUCCAUGAUGAGCAUAUGAAUGGGCUGAACCAAUUUAAGGUUGGGGACAAGGUACUGUUGGACAAAACAGAUGCACAAAUUGCCCCUUCAGAGCUUGAUGCAAAUAAAUCAAACCCAUUUACGGUACUGAACGUCUUCCCCUACAGUACAGUCAAGGUAACUCAUUCUGAAUUUGGCACACUUAAGGUAAACAAUACUCGACUUAGAUCUUAUCUUGGUAGAAUAAUUGAUAGCAAGAAAGAGGAGCCUUGGCUCCAUAAACCACUGUAACUGUGCGUACAAGGUAAGUCGAGCUUAGACUUUAAAUAAACGCUUCUUAGGAGGCAACCCGAGUGUCUAACAUUCUGUUAAUUCUUUUAACUUUUUCAUGUUAUUUUCAAAUUAAUUAAAUUAAAUUUUAAAUUUAAAAAAAUACUUUGACCUAUACGGCCUGGACACACGGGCAUGUCCCAGGUCGUGUGUAUAAUGGGGCAUUCGAUAGUGAGUUACACAGCCUGGCGACAUGGCUAUGUAACCCACCCGGCCUGGACACAUGGGCGUGUCCUUGGCUGUGUGAGUCCUGGGACUUAAUUUUCCAAAAAUUUGAUGUUUACAUGGCCUAAGGUAGUCCACACGAUCGUAUCCUAGGCCGUGUGAGCACUAGAGGUAAUUUUUUCAAUUUAAUUUCAAGUCAGUGAGUAACACGGGCAAGAGAUGCGCCAUAUGCAAGACACGACCGAGACACACAGGCGUAGAAGAAGCGAAUGAGAUCACACAUGGCCUGGACACAUGGGUGUGUCUGAGGUCGUGUAAAGACUGGGCUCACAUUUCACAUUACACACGGGUUAAAGGAGUCACACACGGGCAUGUGACACAACCGUGUAGCCCAACGCAAGCCUUCACAUGACCGUGCCACCCUUUUAAAGCAAACCCUAAUUUUUAUUUUUCUAGUUUGUCUUGUUCUCCCUCCAACCUAGCCACCACUCACUCAAGAUUCCUCCCUCCUUUACCAGUCUAACCACCGGCCACGCGACCAGCCCCUCCUUCACACACUGCACCACCGCGCAACCUCCUUUCUUCCUACGCUACCAACUCCGACCCCGCUCAUCCUUUCUCCCUUCUUUCCCCUUUCCUCUUCUUUGUUUUCCCCAAUAGCCCACACCCUUCCCCUCGACCAGUCCUCACUCAUCCUUUUCUCUCCUCUUUUAUGUUGCACCACAACAAGCCCCCUCUUUCCCGUCCGUCGACCAUCGCGCGAACCUUCAGCCACUAUCUCACCGUCAAUCCUCUCUAUUUCCUUUUUUUAAUUCUUUAUUAUUUUAUCAUUUUAUCAUUUUAUUAUUUUCUUUAAUUAAUUAAUUAAUUAGUUUUAUUUUUCUUCUAUUUUAUUUAAUUUAUUUAUUCCAUUUAAUAAUUUUAUUAUUAUUUGAUUAUAUUUUUUCCUACUACCUUAGUUAUUUUAUGAUUAGUUUAGUUUAAUACAUUAUUGUUUUUAUAUGUUAUUUGUCUUAUUUAUUUUCUACUUAGUAUUAUUUCUAUCAUAUAUUUUUUGCGUUUCUUGAGUAUUAGUUAUUUUCUUAAUAGACAUUGUUAGUUUUUAUUUCACUUUAUUUUUAGUAUUAAGUUAUCAUUGUUUUUAUCAUGUUACUUGUUGGUGAAUUCAUUCUUGGGUUAGUUGCUCAGUAUUGUGGUUUAGGUUUUCACUUUGUUUCUGUCUCUGUCAUGCCAUCUAUUGGACUUAUUAUUUAUUCUUUUUAUUUUGUUAUUACUUUUUACUUUUCUUUUAGCAGUUAUUCAAUUAUUUUGCCGAUCAAUGUUUAGUCUUGUGAUUUCAUUUUAGUUUGAUUCAAUUUUUGAUUUGAUUAAGUUUUAUGAUGUUGAGUUGUAUUUUGUCUUAGUUCUUCUGCUGACAUUUAGCUAUUAUUUAUUCUUUUUAGGCAUUAUGACGAACACUAGAGGCAAGUUUGAGGUCAUCGUUUCUACUUCGAAAAAGCAGAAAACUUCAGGCAUGACAUCAUCGUCGAGCGCUUCCCUUGAUGCCCACUACCCCUAUCUCCAAUUUCCACAGGGUCCUCAGGAGGAUUUAUAUUAGCAUCUUCGACUGAGGCCAUUUGGAUUAGGUCAUUGUAUUGAUUAAUCCAUUAUAUUGAUUGGGCUGCUUUAGAGCAGGUCCAGUUAGCUUAUUAUGUCCGUGCCAUCAUUGCUACACCUCCUUGGGACCAGUUCUUUUCCAUCAUCAAGCCCGUAUACUCGAAGUUGAUUUUAGAGUUUUGUUUGACAUUUAUCCUACAACAGGUGAUAACGACCAAUGAUAAGUUGCACAUAAUUACCUUCAGACUCGGUGAUAUGGCGCGACAUAUGAGUGUCCCAAAGUUUGAAGUUGCAUUGGGACUUUACACUGUAGAGUUUAUGAGUGCCAAGGUGUUCCUUCGAUUAUAUUGGCACAUCCACUACUCGCCGUCUCUUUGCUGGGUAGAUCUUAUGGUGAGCACGAUGCCUUAUGAUCCAAGUCGGUCGAAGGGGACUUAUCUUCCUCCGACCUUGCACUACGUUCAUGCCAUCUUGGCUCACACAUUAAUCAGUAGGAGGGAGAGCACCAGAGUCGUCGAUACAACCGAUGCAUAUUUUUUGUAGAACAUUGCCACGGAGCGCACCUUUGAUCUUGUCUAUUUCAUCGCCCUCGUUGUUUCUCAUUAGAUAGAGCACAGUAGAAGGGGCCCUAUCUGUUUAGGCCCUUACGUGACUCGACUCGCACGUCACUUCGGUCUCCUCGACAAACCGGAACAGUCAUCCUCCCUUACACUAGUUGGACAGAUGUCCCGCAGGGAUUUUCGAGUAUGACUCACAUAAAGAUGGUCGAGCCGGCGGCUCACAAUAUUGAUGCCUCUGACGAUGAUGUUUUAUUUGUUUUAUAUUUAUUUUUAUCUUUAUUUUUAUUUUUAGUUGUUUUAUUUUUAUUUUCUUAGACUUAUUUGGUUUAUUAUCUUUUGAACUAUAUUUUUAUUUUUAUGGUUGUUUCUAAUUGAGUUGUAACAUUUUAAUCUUCUUCAUUAUUUGUGUUCAUUUUCUUAUUAGUUUGCUCGGAAUCAUGCAGUACAUUUAGAUUUGCUUCCAAUUCUACUUUUCAUUAUUCUGGCGAUUUCUUUCAAUAUUCAAGACAGUUUCAGUUUUCUCUCUCUCUUAUGAUAUCCUACUUAUAUUGUGAUUAUAUUUGUUUGUACAUUGAGGACAAUGUACAUCUUAAGUGUGGGAGGUUAUUUAUAUAAUUAUUAGAAAGUCCCUGAAUUAUGUCUUGUAUUUAAGUACUUUUCUCAUACUUACAUUAGAAUAAUUUUUUGUCAAUUGGGAUUUUUGUUUAUGUGUUCUAGAUUAAUAUGUAGAUAUUUGUGCAUUGGUUGAUUUGAACUCUAAGACAUGAAAGAAUCAAGCAUGAUAAUUUAUUUUUCAAAAUUAAAAAAUUUUUAGGUUGUUUCUCUAAAUUGAAGUUUUAUCUUGAAGUUUGAGAUUUGCAAGUUUGACAUUAAAAUCAUAAUUUUUUGUGAGAUUUUGAACCUUUAGAGCAUAUAUUUUUCAUGCUUAUUCUAUUAUUGGUUAUGAGUGUGGCAACUUGAUUUGUUAUUCUAGAAUUUGAUUCUAUUAUACAUGUCGAGACCACAACUUUGAUUUGAUAUAUUGAGAUGAUAAACGCACUUAGGUUUUAGCCCACCUAUCCUAUAAAAAGCCUACUUUUUUAAUUAACCCUUAGUAGACCCCGUUGAGCCUAACAUACUGUUUCUUGAUUAACCCAUUAAUGUUAAUCCAUAACUCAUUUUCUUCGUUGCGAAUUUUUCCCCGUUUUAUUGAUUCCCUUUUUGUCGAGAUUUGAUUUGGUUAGUUGCCUAACUAUGCUUUUCUAUUUGAUUUGUUGAAUUAUUUCUUAUUGUUCUAGAAAGAAAAAAAGAAAAAAAUUAGAAAAAAAAUUAUUUAUCGAUUAUUAUUUAGUUCCAUGUUGGUUGAGCUUGGACAAUUGAAUUCAUAUUUUGAGAAGAAGCUCGUUUUUAUUUUUGAAUAGUUCUUGAUUGGUACACUUAUUUUUAAUUCAGCAUUUGUUUAUUUUUUCUAGUUUGGUAAUUUAUCAACUCGAUCUCGAUCAUAACCAACUUUCUUGACAUUUAUCCACACCCUUAACCUAAGCCCCAUCACAACAUCUUAAAGACCUUUUGAUUAGUGUGUCAUAUCAUUUUAUAGUGGUAGAGAUUUGAUUUUCAAGCAAGCCUAUGGUAAUGACGUUUAUUGUUCGACUUUCGAGUGCAUAUUGUUGAACUUUAAACACUUUAAAUACUUGAGUGAAUCUUUAAUGAGGAUGCAAUUCUUGUUAAUUUUGAAUUAAAGAUAACUACUUAAAUAAGGGGAGACACAUAUUUUUUCGUGUUUAAAAAUGUUAGCUUGGAUUGUUUGAGACUUUAGUGCCCUUUUAGCUGACUUGCCAAUGCAUGAUUAUUUGUGAAUUAUUUUGAGACAUUAUUGAUGGGAAUUACAAGUUGAGAAAUAUUAACUUAAAUGUGAGUUGAGGAUUUUGCUUGAAGACAAGCAACACUUAAGUGUGAGGAUAUUUGAUAAAUGAUAAAACUAACAUAUUUUAAUCUCAUUCUUAAUACGUUGUUGGAUGAUUAUUUAUGCAAAUUGGUGAAUUUGAUACUCCUAAUCCUUUUAAUUCAUAUCUUACACUUAGGUGAGCAUUUGGGAGUAAAAUGAGAAAAAAUUAGAGAAAAAAAGUAGAAUUUAAGAGCCACACGGGCUGGGCACACGCCCAUGUGACCCAUACGGGCUAGACACACUCCCAUGUGCCAGCAGUGUCAAUUUCGCACCCUACUUCCCAAAUACGCGAAAAAACACAAUUUUUGGGCUUUAUGAGGAUUCUAAAUUCUAUAAAUACCAAUUAGAAGAAGAGAUAUGGGAGCCAUUAGAGAAGAUCAAAGAAAACACUAGAAAAACACCAUCAGAGCCAACUCAGAAGCGGAUCUCCAUAAGAUUGAAGAUCUCCUUUUAAUUUCUUUUGAAAUUUUUAUGGGUUUUUUGUUUCUUGUGGUUUUUUUUCUACUUUAAGAUUUUUUAUUCAGGAUUAUGAACUAAUUCCGUAGAUACCUAGGGAGGAUGAAACCUAUGACAAAUUAUAUUAUUCAAUUUUUGUUUUAUAUGAUAAAUACUUGAUUCUUGUUCUCAAUUAUGUGUGCUUAUUUCUUAUUUUAAUAUUUUUAGGAUAUUAAUUCAUGUUUAAUGUGCUUUAAUUCAAUAGAGCAAAAGUCCCUGUUUAAGAGUAGAUCUAGCAUAGUUGAGUGGAGUUGCAUGCAAUCCUAAAAAUAGGACGACAUAAAUCUACCAGAUUAGAGGAAAAUCUAAUAGGGGAAUCCAUAAAUCGAGUUAAUGUGACUAUAUGAGUUUUAAUUAGAAAGAGAUUUCAAUUAAUCAACCUAGAGUCAGUUGCAUUUACUCCCAAAAAAGAUAUUAGCAUAAUUUAGGGAUUUCUACAUAUCAAGACAUCAAGUGAAUAAAUCGUUUAAAUCAGAUUAAUAAUAAUAGAACGAGUCUAGGUGGAUUCUUUCCUGGGUAUUGUCUCUCUUAUUGGUUAAUAUUUGAUUAUUUCCUUGAUUCCUUCUAUGUUACGUUCUCAGUUAAAUUAGUUUAGUAAAUUUAGCUUUAAAACCCAUCAUUCCAAAUUGCUGACUGAAUAAUAAGAAAACGGUAAUUACUAAUACUUUUAGUCCUCAUAGAUAUGAUAUUUGUACUGAUCGCAGCUAUACUAUUGUUCGAUAUGUGCGCUUGCCUUUGUCCUAUUUAUAGUUAGUUUUGUGACUAUCAGUGAGCUCAACUUCUUUUUGGGGCUCUAAAUCAAGCAAAUUCAUAAUGGCAUCUUCAUCAAUCAAGCCAAAUACAUCAAGGAAAUGCUCAAGAAAUUUAAAAUGGAGGACUUGAAGCCUCAAUCAACACCAAUGAGCACUUCAACAAAGCUUGAUAAAGAUAAAAAAGGUAAAUGUGUUGACACUAAACUUUAUAGGUCUAUGAUAGGAUCCUUGUUUUAUCUUACCACAAGUAGACUGAUUAUAAUGUUUAGUGUUUAUUUAUGCUCUCAAUUUUAAUCAUUUCCUAUUGAGUCACAUUUACAAGUAAUUAAGAGAAUCUUUAGGUACCUUAAGGACACUCCAAACCUAGGAAUUUGGUAUCCUAAAGAUUUAUCAUUUAUUUUGCAUGCUUACUCUAAUGUAGAUUUUGGAGGAUGCAAGUUAGAUAGAAAAAACACUUCUGGAACAUGUCUAUUCUUAGGAAACAUGUUUGUUUCUUGGUUCUCUAAGAAACGAAAUACUGUAGCUUUGUCCACAACCGAAGUGGAAUAUGUUGCCGUAGGCAGUUAUUGUGCUCAAAUUCUUUGGAUGAAGCAACAAUUAGUUGACUAUAGAAUUGAUAUGGAUCACAUUCCUAUAAGGUGUGAUACUAGUACUAUUUACUUUACCAAAAAUCUCAUCCAACACUCUAGAACAAAGCACAUAGAAAUAAGACACCAUUUCAUUAGAGAUCAUGUGCAAAGAGGUGACAUAAUACUAGAGUUUGUAGAUACUUUGCAUCAACUAGUCGAUAUUUUUACAAAGCCUUUAGAUAAUGACAGAUUUUGGAUAAUUAAGGGAGAGUUAAGACUAAUGAACAUGCCUUUAUAAGCUUCUUGUCUAAUCUUUUUGACAUUCUUGGACACUUGUUUUCUUCUAUGCAUGCUUUGCGUACAUUACUCGACUAUACUUGUAAACUUGUAAAUUCAUUAUUUCUCUUCUUCUUCUUUUUUUCAUGUUGAAAUGUUGUUACUAUGUGAUAUAAUUAAAUUAGUUAGUAUUUUAAAUCAUAGAUAAAAAUAUGAGAAUGUUAGUAAAUGUAUUUUUCACCUUUUGAUUGCAUUCAAGCAUGUUUUUCUUAAUUUUCUUGUAGAUAUUUGUUUAAACAUGGUAUUAUAUGGUUUUACAUAUGUUAUCUAUUUGUUUUUGUACCUUUUUUUCAUGUAUUUUUUCAUUUUUCUUUUGUUUCUAUUUUUAUUCUUAUGUCUCCAAAUUUUUAAGCAUUGUGCACUUAUUCUCCUAGUUUUUCAAGCAUGCAUUCUUUUUCAUAUUACAAAAAGGGGAAGAAAAAUGCAAAUUUUGCAUAAUAUAGUUUUCAACUUAAUCUUAAAGCCAAAUUCUUUAAGUUGGAAAUUUAAAUGAAAUGACAUCUAAAAUAUUUUUUUUCAAAAAAGGAGCUUAUUUUGAAAAUAAUGUUUAAGAUAGCGGGAGUUAGAAUUUUUUUUUCAAAAUGCUUUUGUUAUAUCAAAAAGGGGGAGAUUGUUAGCUCUAUUUUUUCAAGUAUUUUGAUAUAACAAAAAGUAUAUUAAAAAUUCCCUACUUAAAUCUGUAAAAAUUGUUUAUAAGUCCUUAAAAUUAUUUCCAAAGUGUUGGACAAAAUAAAUUGUUAAAAGGCCUUGAUUGACUUAUUUUUUAACGAGUUUUUGAAGUCUGAAGAACUUCUACCAAAACUUAGGUGGACAAGUAUUGGUAGAACUUAAGAUGAAAAGAACUUGAAAAGGCUACAAAAUUCUACCGAUAGAACUGGGAGUUCGACUGAUACAACCCAAACUUCUAUCGGUAGGACGCACUCCAGUAAGCAAGGUAGUUUUGGCUUGGGACUUUUAUCGAUACCUUGGUCCAAUCCGCCGAUACAACCAAAUGCUACUAAUACCGUGAGGACUUCUAUCGAAACAAGUUAAGCCAGUAGCCAAAGUUCAGCAUCUCUUGCAUUUCUAUUGAUACCUUGAGGACUUCUACCGAAACAAGUCAAGUUAGUAGCCAAAGUUCAGCAUCCCCUGCACUUCUAUUGAUACUUUGAUGAGUUCUACCGAUACCAAAUGAAACCCUCAGAGUUCUACCAGUACAAGAUAACUUAUACUGAUAGAACGAGCCCAAUGGUCAUAUUUUGGAAAGACUUCUACCAAUACAAAUUUCCUUCUACCGAUACAACAAAACUGCAGACUACAGUUAAUGCUGAUUUUUAUAACUGCAAUGACUCCAUUUUGUUUCUAACGACUACAAACGUCCACAAUGUUGUUAAAGGACUUAAAUACAAUGUCAAGGCUCCUCAUUGAAGUCAACAAAGACAAAAAACAAGUGUCUAACUUCCAAGAACUCAAUUUUCAAUUUUUCUCAAUUUUUUACUAAAUAUUUCUUGUACACACUUGUGGAUUAAGUUUUCUAUCAUUAUUUCAAGUGUUGUAACUUUGUGUGAGAGUGCUUAAUUGUUGAUUAUCUACCUUUUAAAGGUAUCAUCUUAUUCAUUAUUAUUUUUCUCUCAUUUAUGAAGUGUUACUUAAGGUUUUUGGUAGAAAACCUUAAGGGAAAGUGGUUCUAUCUUACCUUUAAAAAUAUAGGAAUUUGUAAGAUUAAACAUUGUUCUUAAAAGUUUAAAUCUAGUGGAUUUGGGAAAUCCUUAGUUGAGGAAAACGAAGGUAAUGGAUGUAGACAAUUGAGAUCAAACCACUAUAAAUACUUGAGUCAUUUGAUUUUUUCCCUUUCCUGAAAACAUUUUAAUACGCCAAUUCACCCCCUCUUAAUAUAUUUAGAUCUUAACACCUCUAUUUUAGUUUUGCUCAUCAAUCUUAAAAAUUCACAACCCUAAAUAAAAAAUACUAAAAAUAAAAAGAAAAUACUUCAAAAAUGUCAAACCACUUGUUUCAACCAAAAUAAAAAGAAAUCCAUAAUCAAUCAUUCUAACAAAACUCAUGUAAUUUUUUGUCGAUAGAGCUCUUUUACAAUAACCCAUCAAGCGACAGUGUAUGAAAAGAUAAAAGGACCAAUGACAUAUUGGUUCAAAGCAUUGUCAAUUGAUAUUUCUAAAUUUUGGAUUUGAAAAACUCACCUCGAUCUUUAUUGGAAGAAGCCAUAGAUGUCAA
rnacentral:lncRNA from 1 species